UGGGGAAUAUUGCACAAUGGGCGCAAGCCUGAUGCAGCCAUGCCGCGUGUAUGAAGAAGGCCUUCGGGUUGUAAAGUACUUUCAGUCGGGAGGAAGGUGUCAAGGUUAAUAACCUUGGCAAUUGACGUUACCGACAGAAGAAGCACCGGCUAACUCCGUGCCAGCAGCCGCGGUAAUACGGAGGGUGCAAGCGUUAAUCGGAAUUACUGGGCGUAAAGCGCACGCAGGCGGUUUGUUAAGUCAGAUGUGAAAUCCCCGGGCUCAACCUGGGAACUGCAUCUGAUACUGGCAAGCUUGAGUCUCGUAGAGGGGGGUAGAAUUCCAGGUGUAGCGGUGAAAUGCGUAGAGAUCUGGAGGAAUACCUGUGGCGAAGGCGGCCCCCUGGACGAAGACUGACGCUCAGGUGCGAAAGCGUGGGGAGCAAACAGG
rnacentral:rRNA from 1 species